CUUGACAAUCAUAAGAGGUCAAGCCUGCCCAGUGACAUUGUUCAACGGCCGCGGUAUCCUAACCGUGCGAAGGUAGCGUAAUCACUUGUUCUUUAAAUGAGGACUAGUAUGAACGGCUUCACGAAUGCUAUACUGUCUCCUUUAUCCAAUCAGUUAAACUAAUCUCCCCGUGAAGAAGCGGGGAUUCACCUAUAAGACGAGAAGACCCUAUGGAGCUUUAAACACUCUUAAACAUUUGAACCCUUUAUUACUUCCACACAAAACUUCACUAAACCACUCAUUUUGUUUAAACUUUUAGGUUGGGGUGACCACGGAGAAUAACCUAACCUCCACGUGGAAAGAAACUUAUUUCUAAGCAAAAAGCCACAUCUUUAUGCAUCAAUAUUAUUGACCUAAAUUGACCCAAUUAUUUUGAUCAACGAAC
rnacentral:rRNA from 1 species